rnacentral:rRNA from 1 species
CCUACGGGAGGCAGCAGUGGGGGAUAUUGGACAAUGGGGGGAACCCUGAUCCAGCGACGCCGCGUGAGUGAAGAAGUAUUUCGGUAUGUAAAGCUCUGUCAGCAGGGAAGAAAGAAAUGACGGUACCUGACCAAGAAGCCCCGGCUAACUACGUGCCAGCAGCCGCGGUAAUACGUAGGGGGCAAGCGUUAUCCGGAAUUACUGGGUGUAAAGGGGGCGUAGACGGUUAAGUAAGUCUGGAGUGAAAGGCCGGGGCCCAACCCCGGGACUGCUCUGGAAACUAUUGAACUUGAGUGCAGGAGAGGUAAGCGGAAUUCCUAGUGUAGCAGUGAAAUGCGUAGAUAUUAGGAGGAACACCAGUGGCGAAGGCGGCUUACUGGACUGUAACUGACGUUGAGGCUCGAAAGCGUGGGGAGCGAACAGGAUUAGAUACCCCUGUAGUC